rnacentral:tRNA from 1 species
GAGUCUGGAGCUCAGUUGGAUAGAGCAACGGCCUUCUAAGCCGUGGGUCGGGGGUUCGAAUCCCUUCAGGCUCG